AGAGUUUGAUCCUGGCUCAGGAUGAACGCUAGCUACAGGCUUAACACAUGCAAGUCGAGGGGCAGCAUGAACUUAGCUUGCUAAGUUUGAUGGCGACCGGCGCACGGGUGAGUAACACGUAUCCAACCUGCCGAUGACUCGGGGAUAGCCUUUCGAAAGAAAGAUUAAUACCCGAUGGCAUAGUUCUUCCGCAUGGURGAACUAUUAAAGAAUUUCGGUCAUCGAUGGGGAUGCGUUCCAUUAGGUUGUUGGCGGGGUAACGGCCCACCAAGCCUUCGAUGGAUAGGGGUUCUGAGAGGAAGGUCCCCCACAUUGGAACUGAGACACGGUCCAAACUCCUACGGGAGGCAGCAGUGAGGAAUAUUGGUCAAUGGACGAGAGUCUGAACCAGCCAAGUAGCGUGAAGGAUGACUGCCCUAUGGGUUGUAAACUUCUUUUAUACGGGAAUAAAGUGAGGCACGUGUGCCUUUUUGUAUGUACCGUAUGAAUAAGGAUCGGCUAACUCCGUGCCAGCAGCCGCGGUAAU
rnacentral:rRNA from 1 species